rnacentral:lncRNA from 1 species
AUGAGCUCUACCUCGAAGGAGCACGGGGCUGAGGAACGAAGUGACUCAGACAAAAUGAAGGAGAUCCAACAUUUUAACUUGGCCGUGAAUGAUGACGACGUCUCCAGGAAACAGACGAUAGCAACAGAUCAGGAAACUACAGCAGACGAGCGAAGUGACGGCUCUCUGCAGCCGACGCGUGAGCACAGCUCAGCAGGUGGUGAUUGUGAAGAAGCCGGCGAGGAUGUAAACCCUGUUCAUGGACACCAGCACUUUGCAAAGCUUCCACCAUUACCAACCAAACACGUAGUGAUCACUGUGACUCGAAUCGGACCUGUCGUCCAAGAACAAGAUGAAUCCACCACGGUGGAAGCUGAGGAGCAGCACGGAGAGUCCUCCUCCACGAAGGAUGAAGAAGAAGAUGAAGACAAAGACCGCCAAGAAGAUCAGCAGAAACCAGAUGCUUCUCCAGACGUCGCCUCCCAGAUCCACCAAAACCACCCGGCCAGCGAUCCUCCAGCUCCAUCCUCCAUUAGCAGAACCACCUUCUCUCCGAGCUCCCCCACGGACAGGCCCGGGCUCCCGGCCCUCUUCAGCAGCCUGAGAGCUGCCAGGAAGGAGGUGCAGGAGUCCGAGAGCGAGGCCGCGGCCCAGAGCAAACCUGGAGCGAGGAGGAACAUUCUCAGUGACAAGCAGGGGGACGCCAAGGCUCAAGGGGGCUUCCUGGAGCAAAUCUCCCAGUUCCUGAGUCGAGAAAAGAGGGAGGAGAAGGAGGAGAGGAAGGAGACGGAUGCUGAGGGAGAGCUGGAAAACGAGAGGGAGCCGGAGAGCGAAAGUCAAGAGAGCCCUGACAAAGAUGAGGACAAAGAGGAGCCGGGCGUGUCCACGAAGCCGCCGGUGUCCAGCGCAGAGGCCGCAUUCGACGCCUUCAAGGCCUUUUUCACCCCGAAGCCUUUAAAGAAGGAUCCAACGGCAGACAGAGGAGAACUGGAGGCCGUGAGGAAGAAGAUACGAACAGAAAAAGACGGCUUGAGAGCCUUCUUCGAGAGAACGUCCAUUAAGACGCCAGAGAAGAAAAAUGACGGCAAAGUAUGCGUCAUAUGA